rnacentral:rRNA from 1 species
UACGUAGGGGGCGAGCGUUGUCCGGAAUCAUUGGGCGUAAGGAGCUCGUAGGCGGCUUGGCAAGUCGGAUGUGAAAACUCCAGGCUCAACCUGGAGCCGCCAUUCGAUACUGCUAUGGCUAGAGUCCGGUAGGGGAGUGUGGAAUUCCCGGUGUAGCGGUGAAAUGCGCAGAUAUCGGGAGGAACACCGAUGGCGAAGGCAGCACUCUGGGCCGGCACUGACGCUGAGGAGCGAAAGCGUGGGGAGCGAACAGG